AGUCACUGACGAGUUUGAUCAUGGGCUCAGAUUGAACGCUGGCGGCAUGGCUAAAACAUGCAAGUCGAACGAUCCCUUCGGGGAGAGUGGCGAAAGGGCGAGGAAUAGAAUCGAAUGUACCCCAAGGUGGGGAGUAGCCUCUGGAAACGGAGGGUAAUACCCAUGUGCUCUACGGAGGAAAGGUUUACCGCCUUGGGAGCAGCGAUUCUCCUAUCAGGUAGUUGGUGAGGUAACGGCUCACCAAGCCGAAGACGGGUAGCGGGUGUGAGAGCAUGACCCGCCGCAUCGGGACUGAGACACUGCCCGGACUCCUACGGGAGGCUGCAGUAACGAAUCUUCCGCAAUGGGCGAAAGCCUGACGGAGCAAUGCCGCGUGUGGGAUGAAGCAUCUUCGAUGUGUAACCACUAGUCAGGGUCUAGGAAUACUGACCAGACCCAAAGGAAGGGCCGGCGUAAUUCCGUG
rnacentral:rRNA from 1 species